AGUUCUACCUAAAGAUACUUAAAUACAAUAAAAUAAAUCUGAAAUCUUUAGAGCAAUUCAAGCAGGGAACAGCCUGCCUGAACUGGGACACAACCCCUUCUAAUGGGUAAAUACCCCACACCCCCCCCCCAAGUAGGCCUAAGAGCAGCCACCUUUAAUAAAGCGUCACAGCUAAUAUACCACCCCUCCCUAAUUCCCGCACCAAUAAUCAACCCUUUUUCAACAGUGAGGGACUCUAUACAACUAUAGAACCCUUUAUGUUAAAACUAGUAACAAGAAACUCGUUUCUCUUAAAUGCCCACGUCUAAAAAUUAACACAUUUGAACAAACAGUAAUAACCCCGCAAGAAAAUCUUACUAACCCCUGUGUUAACCUAACUCCAGAGCAUUAAAAGAAAGAUUAAAAGAAAAAGAAGGAACUCGGCAAAUAGUAAUCCCGCCUGUUUACCAAAAACACCGCCUUUUGAAAAUUAUAAAAGGUCAAGCCUGCCCAGUGACUCAGUUUAACGGCCGCGGUAUCCUGACCGUGCGAAGGUAGCGUAAUCACUUGUUCUCUAAAUAAGGACUAGUAUGAAUGGCAUCACGAGAAUUACACUGUCUCCUUUCUCUAAUCAGUGAAACUAAUCUCCUCGUGAAGAAGCGAGGAUAAACUUAUAAGACGAGAAGACCCUGUGGAACUUAAAAUUAAUAGAAGCGAACCUAAACACCGCAAUUACUAUGACUUUUGGGCUGGGGCGACCGCGGAGCAUAAUUAAACCUCCACAUUGAACGGACUAACAACCUAAACAAAAACUACACCUUUAAGUAUCAGCAAACUGACAUCGAUUGACCCGAUAUAUCGAUCAAUGAACCAAGCUACCCCAGGGAUAACAGCGCUAUCCACUUCGAGAGCUCAUAUCGACAAGUGGGCUUACGACCUCGAUGUUGGAUCAGGGAAUCCCGGUGGUGUAGCCGCUACCAAAGGUUCGUUUGUUCAACCGAUUAAAACCCU
rnacentral:rRNA from 1 species